UGGCGGCCGUAGCGCGGUGGUCCCACCUGACCCCAUGCCGAACUCAGAAGUGAAACGCCGUAGCGCCGAUGGUAGUGUGGGGGCUCCCAUGCGAGAGUAGGGAACUGCCAGGCA
rnacentral:rRNA from 1 species